UGGGGAAUAUUGCACAAUGGGCGGAAGCCUGAUGCAGCGACGCCGCGUGGGGGAUGACGGCCUUCGGGUUGUAAACUCCUUUCACCAUCGACGAAGGUUUUCUGACGGUAGAUGGAGAAGAAGCACCGGCUAACUACGUG
rnacentral:rRNA from 1 species